rnacentral:tRNA from 1 species
GGGGGUGUAGCUCAAUGGUAGAGUACUUGCCUAGGAUGCAUGAGGUCCUGGGUUUAAUUCCCAGUACCAACA